CUUCUCCACUAUCGGUACACCUCUACCCCUCAUUCAUUUUUUUUCCAAAUUGAGAAAAUCCCCAAAUUGAGAAAUCCCUUCAUCCAUCGUCCGAGAACGCCGUCGCACCACCACCAGUCGACUGCACAGCGCCGCUGCUGUCACUGUUCCGAGCAGCCGACGCCAUCGUACGCCGUGGAAUCACCGUGGCAGCGCCGCGACAGGCGCCUCGCCGUCGCUACUCUGCAGCAACGUCUCGCCUUCGCCGCUGCUGCCAUUCCGCCAUCGCCGCUGACCAGUUCGAGGAGCAGUUCAUCGAUCCUCUCCAAUCUCCGUCAACGGCUGUUCGGCAGAGACCCGAUUCACCCCGAUCGGCCCCGAAACCAACCCGAACAGCCUCGAAACAACCCGGAGCAGCCCCGAAAGGUAACAGCCGGAUGGAAAUUCUUGAAGAUUCAUGCUGAAAAGAAAAACGUGUAGUAAAGGAAGAGAGACACGUGUAGCAAAGGAAGAGAGAAGGAUUGGGCUCAAAGUCUAUCUCCCACAAUUUUAUUCACUUUCAUUUGGACUCAUUUAUUUGUAUAGCCCAACUUGUAUCUUUUAUUUAUUUGAUUUAGUUCAUAGGACUAAAGUCAAAUUCGUAACAUAUAAACACUGAGCUCUAUUUAAUUGAGAAGCCCAAAAUAUUUACUUCA